ensembl:snRNA U6 U6 spliceosomal RNA
GUACUUAUGCUUCAACAGCACAUACGCUAAAAUUGGAACGAGACAGAGAUUAGCAUGGCCCCUGCGCAAGGAUGACACACAAAUUUGUGGAGUUCCAUAUUUUUAU